UCAGAAAUGUGAAUUGUGCACAGUGGAUCUCAUCUGUUACAUGUGCACCAAUGGAUCUCAUCUGGGUUCUCUCAAAUUAAUUUUUGAGGCUUAAAAGUAACUCCCAGCCAGGUGUUUGAAUGGUUUUGGACACCACCUUUUAUGUGGCUUUUGCAUUAGCAAGAAAGAAAAGUUUGACCACAGGCAGACAGUGCGCAGUUCCCAGUAUCCAUCUCAGGAGCCUGAUCACCCUGGGCUUCUUGGCAUUUCUGAGUGCUUGUAAGUCAGUGGGAGAUGGGCAAGAGCCAAGAAUCCAGAAACUUAUAAUUAAGAGAGGGAGAAAAAACCCAAGGAAUUAAUAUUGGUUCACAGACUAUGACCCUACAUGCUCAAGUAUUUUGAGGUAUUAGCAGCUCUUUCUGGGGAGGGUUCUGUGGUCAGCCUUCUGUCUUUGUGAAGUUUUUCUGUUUCAAGACAGACUUUUUUUCUUUCAAUCUAUAGCACUGCAUUGCCUUCUCAUUUAAAUAUUCACAAGUUUAUGCUAAUCCCACUUUUAUACAGCAUAACUCAAUAUGGGUUUUGUCAGUUGGUUUCUGUCCAAGACGCUCCUCUAGAUACACAUCUCGCCUGCUGAUGCAUUGCUUUACUUCUUUGUUGGGGAUUUUUUGUGUGGUCUGUGCUGAUGUUUAGUGUGUGCUUAGAGCAUUUCACGGCACUUUUCUUAUCUUGUACAUAUCUUGAUCAAAAAAAUAUCUGUUGACCUGAAUGAAUGACCUAGAUUUUGUGUGCAAAUGUCCUUGGACUGAUUGAGCAACGUUCAGGUCUUUGGUUCUCCUAAGCCCAAGGAGGAGGAGAUGCCACCCAGUCAGGCUAUGCUCAUGCUCUUGCUCCCUUUGAUGCCAACGCCAGCAAAGCUCAACUCAUAUGGGGAAAAACCUAACACAGCCACUACUGGUGAGUGUCUACAUUGAUUCUGCAAUGCUGCAUUUCAGCUGAGGCGUGCAGGAACCUGCCAUCGUGCUGAGCUGCUCAAAGCUUCUCCUCAUUACCCUCCCAUUGCCACAAGAGCAUUCCUAUAUACGUGGGAGCAUAUGGACUUCACUUGGGAUAGUUAAAGUUUUAAAUCUGAUAGAAAGAACAGGAUGAAAUAACAAGAGUGGUCCUUUUAAUUCCAUUCUGGUGCUCUCCAGUAUCCCGCAGGUUAUAAAAUCCUUUGGGUAGGAGGAAAGAAAUAUCUCAUGGGAAUCCUGAGAAAAAGAAAGCAACUGUUAUUUAAUAAAGCUUGCAGUGCCAGUUUCUGUUAGAUCACAAUUGAAUGGAGGUGUUUAAUACUCCCUGUUCAUGAACUUCUGUGAACUUUUCAUAGGGCUUAAACCUCCUGAGGUCAAUGGUUUGGAUCUGUGUUUGAGAAUUGAAUUUGAAGGCUGCAAAACUUAAAAGGCCAUUAAUUUUCUAGUUUGUUUGUUGGGCAAAGAAAAUUCUUUGACUCCAAUGGAAGUAAGAAUGCUGUAUGCCUUUUCUUCUGGACAAUGAAACUGGGCAAAUACAUGGAAUGAAGCCUUUAAGCAGAACAUCGUCACGGAUUUAGUAUAAACAAACCCUGAGUAGCAUUGAACAGUUGGCCAAACCUCAUGGUGGGUGUUUGCAUCACAUGGAGGUACUGAGAGAGUUAUUCCUUUGAUGUGCAAAGCACUCACAGAAAGUCCUGAUUCUCUGAACACAGUAGGAGUGAAGCCCCAAGACAGCUUCUUGGCUCAGAGCUGCAAGUGUUUUUGCAGGGACCAGGUCAACCACAAAUCUUCUGUGGUCGAACAUAAACAUGGGCAGCGUGGAGUGAUGUAUAUGGAUUUAAAUCCAGGCUGAAGCAUAAGCCCACCACGGACGUUUUCCAAGUGCAGUCUGUUUGCUAGAUUUGUUUUCUUCUGACUUUUCAUUUUAUCGAGCAUUGCUUUCUCAUGGAUUUGUGAAAGAACAACUGACAGGAGAUACCAUCGCUGCAAAAGGAACUAUUAACUUCAGACACAGAUGGAUAGUUGUUCAUGAGGAACUUUUUUUUUUUUUUAACAAUAGCUUAAGGAAUGUGCUUUUUUUCAAAAGGGUACACUGAAGCAUUUCUGCAAAUUUGCACUUGGCAGGAGGCCAGUUUCAUAUGAUAUUUUAAAAAGAUGGUAUGUUCUUUUUGCAAAUUACAUGCUACUUUGUUUUUCUUUUCUUGGCUGUCUUUGAAAAAGAAAAGUCUAGAAAAGAAUACAGUUACUGCCCUUGUGAUGCUACACAAAAACUAAAAAUGUUCAUCCCAACUUGGAAACGAAGAUGCUUACUAGAAGAAGGGACGUAUAUUAGUAAAGAAAAUGUUACUUGUUAACCUCAUAAGCUUGACUUGUUCACGUGCCCAACUCAUGAGUUCCAUGCAGGCUGGCAGUACAGUCCCUCGGGGUGAGCUGCUGGGGUCACCGUGGUGUCAUGAUGGAAAACUGCUCAGUUUGCUGCAUCUGUACAACUGCUUUAUUCCUGGAUUCCUCCCUGGGCCUGCCACUUACCUGUGCACACACAGACAUCAGACCCAGCUUGCUGUAUUCAGCAGGAUUCUCCUUCUGCAUUACCCUGCUCUCAUUGCUGCCCAGCCUCCACUUUGCUCCUUGCUGUACCUGAAUGCCACGUGCAGCCCGACCCCCUGCUGCACACUGCAGCCCAUCUCUGUUCAUGCAACGGGAAAUUAAGGUUUUACCCACACAACACAGCAAACCAGAGGUUUGGAACGAGAUCAUCUUUAAGGUCCCUCCCAGCCCAAACCUUUCUGUGGUCUGGUGGUGGUGAAGCCAAGGAUGUGCCUUCAGUGAUGGACAUGGAAAAGACACCACCCACUCAGCUCAUCCUGCCAACAUUACUAGCCCCUCUGAGCUCCUGCUGGAACAUGGAAACGCUCCCAAGUUUUUAAUUAAGCACUGUCACAGCUAUAAAAAAAGGAUGUACGUCUUUUAAUAGCAACAUGAGAGCACCCAAGAGUGAGCUACCCGAC